AUUGAACGCUGGCGGCAAGCCUAACACAUGCAAGUCGAACGAGUGGCGGACGGGUGAGUAAUGUCUGGGAAACUGCCUGAUGGAGGGGGAUAACUACUGGAAACGGUAGCUAAUACCGCAUAACAUCAGAUGUGCCCAGAUGGGAUUAGCUAGUUGGUGGGGUAACGGCUCACCAAGGCGACGCUCCCUAGCUGGUCUGAGAGGAUGACCAGCCACACUGGAACUGAGACUCGGUCCAUACUCCUACGGGAGGCAGCAGUGGGGAAUAUUGCACAAUGGGCGCAAGCCGGAUGCAGCCAUGCCGCGUGUAUGAAGAAGGCCUUCGGGUUGUAAAGUACUUUCAGCGGGGAGGCGUUACCCGCAGAAGAAGCACCGGCUAACUCCGUGCCAGCAGCCGCGGUAAUUC
rnacentral:rRNA from 1 species